rnacentral:rRNA from 1 species
CCCUUAGAUGUUCUGGGCCGCACGCGCGCUACACUGACGAUGGCAACGAGUUUUUCCUUCGCCGAAAGGUGUGGGUAAUCUUUUGAAACAUCGUCGUGCUGGGGAUAGAUCAUUGCAAUUUUUGAUCUUGAACGAGGAAUUCCUAGUAAGCGCGAGUCAUCAGCUCGCGUUGAUUACGUCCCUGCCCUUUGUACACACCGCCCGUCGCUCCUACCGAUUGAGUGGUCCGGUGAGGCUUUGGGAUCUGAGCGGAAAGAGCGUUUCGCUGUUUCUGCCCGGAAAACUCAGUCGAACCUUAUCAUUUAGAGGAAGGAGAAGUCGUAACA